UCGGCAAGAUAUAUUGGGCAAGUGGCGUGGAUUUCUCCUUGUCUGCGUUGUCUGAACAACAAAAAUUCUGCCGAAUUCAAGUUUUCUGUUCCUCCUCGUUCGACAUUUUCUCACUCUGCCAUUUUCUUUUUUCACCGGAUAUUUUUGGGUUAUUCUAGGAUCUUUUCUGUUCGGGUUUUUUUAUAAAGAGUUUCGAGUUUUUUUUUCGCUUUUUCUUCGCAUUGCAGGGCCAGCAGGUGUUAAGUGUUUGCGGCUCAAAUUUCGAGCGGGUAAUCUUUCUAAACUUUACAGCUUAAUUUGAUACUUUUUUGCCACAAUCUCGCAGACUUGUUAUUUUGGAACAUUCUAGAUUCAGAGUCUGGGUUUCGAGUGAUUUUGCUUUUCGCACGCAUUUCGUUGCCGGCACUCUUGAUAUUUGCGGAGAAGGCUUUGCAGAAUUUGUCCAAAGAGGCGACCGGCAUUAUAAUCAAAGAAGAGGCAUCGACGAGCGGCACUGCACAGGUGCCCAUAGACGCAAAGAAACCGGAGAAUCAGUCGGAAAAGGCAGAGUCGCAGCUUGCGGGUGGAAGCGGGUCGCAGGCAGAGUCCAGCGACAGCCAUUUGCAGCCUCUGAAAAGACAUAAUGCACAACAUUAUAAAAAGCAAUCUAGACAUGGACAACAGCAAGGGGAAAGAGCCUGACGAUAAGUCCUGCUUUAGCCGGCAGGGCGUCAUCACCUCUCUGCACAACAACGGUGGUACCAUCGAUAUGUACAUCACCUCCGACGGGCAGGCUUCCAAACAUAUAUCAGCUGCCUAUCAGCUAGACGUGGGUCGACGUGGUCGAUUAUUUGGGAUACAAGAAGGGGGAAAAGGACUCCCUGAAGCAGAACUGGGGAGAACCAGUCGCCGAAUCAACGAUGCUUCGGGAUAUGGAGGAAUUAAAGCUUAAAGACUCAUCGAGCGCCAGAAGUCCACCAUCGAACUGUUAACCAGCUCAGGCCGUCAAAAGUUUGAACUGGAAAACGUGCAGAUGACAUUUGUGCCAAAGAAGGGCGACUGGGUGACACUUAAAUGCGCUGUCCAGCUGGACGAUGGCUAUGUGGACAAGCAGGGGGAAAUUCUCGAGUUGCUGAAGGUGUUUCCAGCACGCAUCCUCUCGAACCAAAAGCUCGAGGUUGACCGCUGUUUCCCAGAGUUCGUUGAUCUUGGCAACUAUGCCUAUUUGCUGCGGGAGACUUUCCCUACUGGUACAGAUCUUCACACUGGCGAACGUCCUGGCGGAUCUCAUCGAAUGUGCUUACUCGAAAUUCACGCAUCGCGCCAUCAAAGUGACCCCGCAUCAAGAAAGAGAAGACCUAUUGCGCCGCUCGGGCGGUCACCAUCACUGGCGCAAACCGCUUUAUAACCACCGAGGUGUAUGAGAAGCGUAAGAUCAACCUCCAAGUACAAAAAAAUACGAAUCGCAAUUUGGAGCUUUUGAAAGUCCAGCUACAGAAUGGGGCCUAGUCAUAUAUGAGUGUGAUCGAGCCAAUUGCCAAGACCAGUAUUACUGUUGACGAUAGCCUUUUGGUGAUCCUUGAGGUGGAGUUCCGCUGCAUCGGCGAAUGGGCGGAGAAAUAUACCCUGCACUUCGAUAAUUUUAAGGUGGAGCGCAUUUUCAAGAUCAUUGCCUGCAAAACACAGAAGCAGGCCGACGAGGCGAGCAUCAUCUGGUUGCGACCGAAUGUUUGGUGAUGCAUUGGCGGCUUUGAAGUUCCAGAGAUUCUGCGCAAUGUCUACCUGAGAGAAUCCCAGGUCGAUGACCUAGAGAGAUUGUAUCCGUGCUCGAAAGAGGCCCUGUGCAUGGCCAACUAUGUGCAGCGCUUCUGUUUCUUCUUGCAUCUGGAGGAAAUGGAAGUGCUCAUUAGGAUUCGAAGAUUUGACAGACACAGGGCUCACAUGAAAAGGGAAGGGGAGUACCUAUCCCUCAAAAUCGAGUAGGGAAGGGGAGCACCUCUCCCAUGGGCGAUCAGUUCAGAAGCGAGCCGUCUUUAAUAUCCUGCGGGGCGAGGCCAAGAACCUGCCGUACGUGAUCUUCGGUCCGCCCGGACCCGGCCAGACCGUCACCCUGGUGGAGGCGGUGCUGCAGAUGG